CGUAUCACCUGAGCGCCCCUCGCCUCGGCACCGCCGCGUUCCUUGCCGUACAUUUACACGGACGGGACCGAAGGCUUGAAGUCUAAUUCUAGAACAGAAUUAAUCUGCGGAGCCCGUGUUGGUGGCUGCUGGGAGAAAUAAACAUUUUUUUCAGAAAUAACGCUUAGAUCAGUGAAGCAUAACAAGUGUUUGGGUCUUUUUUUUCUCAUCAGUGUUUCUGUCGAGGACAGUGGAGUUGUGCUUAAAAGAUGGAAGUGAUUAAGAGAUGUGAUUGCUCAUAUAUUCCUGAAUAAUCCAAUAGUUAGGGUAGAGCCAGUAAAAAUGCUGUUUUCUAAACGUGGAUUGAAAUUUUCUCCAGCUAUGACGAAUCGUAUCAUUAUGGGAUGUUUGAAAAGAGAAAAUGGAAAUGCAUUUGAAAAUGUUUCCGGUAAAUGAAACUGUUAUUUAUACAUAAUUCAUUGUGAUCAAGUGUCAUAAAUGGGUGAAAAGCCUUCAGAUAUUUGUUUUUAGCUUGUACAUUUGUAAGUCAUGUGUUUAGGAGGACUUGUGUUCAUUUUCAGCCGCCUUAUUGUCCCUUUUUUUACUUUAAUUAUGCAUAAUUUUUACAUAUUAUUUUUCCUUCAUUUUUUCCUGUUUUCUCGAAGGUUUUUCAAACCUGCUUGUCUUACUUGCCUGAUCGUUCCUAAAAUGUGUCGAUCGCAGUCUCAUUCCAGAUGAGCCGUCCCUUCCCGGAGGAAGCCACUGUCUGCCCUGUGCCCGUUCAGUACGUGGUGUUUUGUCGUACGCUGCUGGCAGCUGUGAUCUGUUUCAAGGAGUCAAGUUUUGGGUUGUUGGGUGGGUUUGUUUUUUUUUUCAGUUCAGGUGUGACUGAGCUUGUUAAAAUGUGCAGAGAAAACCAACUUUUCAAGCCACUGUCUGAUCUGAAUUCCGAUUUAACAAGAUGAUGUCCGAAGUCAGCCCUGCCUUGAGGGACAUAGUUCGGGUUUUAAGCCUUUUGUUUUGUUUUGUUUGUUGUUGGGUUUUUUUGUUCAAAAUAAGUUGCAAUCCUUGCGCCAGAAGCAGGAUGGAGGCUAAAGUGCUCAACUCA